rnacentral:rRNA from 1 species
AUGGGGAUGGAGUACGAGCCGGCACCGGCGCAGAAGAAGCCGGCGGCGGGCGGGCGGGCGGCCCUGAAGCUGCUGCUGGCCCUGCUCCUCGUCGGCCUCGCGAUGCGGCUGCUCGCGGACCGCUGCGCCUCCCGCCUCCUGCCGCCCCCCGCCCCGAAGGAGGAGGCCGCGGAGCUCGCCGUGACGGCGCCGCCGGCGCAGGAGGCCGACGGCGGGGACGGGGUGCCCGUAACUCCCAACGGUGCAGGGAGGUGUGAUCUGUUCCAUGGGGAAUGGGUCCAUGAUUCCACUGGCCCAGCUUACACCAAUGCAACCUGCCGGUUCAUCGAGACUCCACAGAACUGUAUGUCGAAUGGAAGGCCUGACGAUGGUUAUCUUUACUGGAAAUGGAAGCCGUAUGGCUGUGACGUGCCGCGGUUUGAGAGCAAGACGUUCUUGGAGGACAUGAGGGGCAAACACUGGGCACUAGUCGGCGAUUCGAUCCUCCGCAACCAUGUCCAAUCGUUGCUCUGCCUUCUUUCCAAGGUUGAAGAUCCUACAGAGGUGUACCACGACAAAACCUACCAGUCCAGGCGAUGGCACUUCCCGUCGCACAACUUCACGCUGUCCCUGGUGUGGGCGCCGUUCCUCGUCAAGGCGGAGAUAUUCGAGGACGAGAACGGGGUCUCGUCGGCGGAGCCGCGGCUGACCUUCGACGUCCUGGACGCGACCUGGGUGAGCCAGUGGGCCAGCUUCGACUACGUGAUCAUCUCGACGGGGCAGUGGUUCUUCAAGAAGGCGGUGUACCUGGAGCAUGGGGCGGUGAUCGGCUGCCACUUCUGCCAGGACAAGAGCCUGAAGGAGGUGAGCAUCGACUACUCCUUCCGCAGGGGGCUCCGGGAGGCCUUCCGGUUCAUCACGGCGUCGCCGCACCGGCCGGUGGUGUUCUACCGGACGUGGUCGCCGUCGCACUUCGAGGGCGGCGAGUGGUUCAGCGGCGGGCGGUGCGACCGGAAGGCGCCGUUCAAGCCGCGGGAGGCCGGCGACCGCGCGCUGGACAACCUCAUGUGGCGGGUGGAGCGCGCCGAGUUCGCCAAGGCCGCCGCGGACGACGGCGGGGCGGGGCGCCUGAGGCUGCUGGACACGUACGAGAUGUCGCUGCAGCGGCCCGACGCGCACGCCGGGCCGUACCGGACGUACCAGCCGUUCGCCAAGGGCGGCGGCGCCGCCGCCGGCAAGGUGCAGAACGACUGCCUGCACUGGUGCCUGCCCGGGCCGAUCGAGGCGUGGAACGACAUCAUCAUGCGGAUACUGGCCGAGGACUGA